AGCCGCCGCGGUAAUACAGAGGGUGCGAGCGUUAAUCGGAUUUACUGGGCGUAAAGCGUGCGUAGGCGGCUUCUUAAGUCGGAUGUGAAAUCCCUGAGCUUAACUUAGGAAUUGCAUUCGAUACUGGGAAGCUAGAGUAUGGGAGAGGAUGGUAGAAUUCCAGGUGUAGCGGUGAAAUGCGUAGAGAUCUGGAGGAAUACCGAUGGCGAAGGCAGCCAUCUGGCCUAAUACUGACGCUGAGGUACGAAAGCAUGGGGAGCAAACAGGAUUAGAUACCCCCGUAGUCCCUGUCUCUUAUACC
rnacentral:rRNA from 1 species